rnacentral:rRNA from 1 species
UACGGAGGGGGCUAGCGUUGUUCGGAAUUACUGGGCGUAAAGCGCACGUAGGCGGCUUUGUAAGUUAGAGGUGAAAGCCCAGGGCUUAACCCUGGAAUUGCCUUUAAGACUGCAUCGCUAGAAUCGUGGAGAGGUGAGUGGAAUUCCGAGUGUAGAGGUGAAAUUCGUAGAUAUUCGCAAGAACACCGGUGGCGAAGGCGGCCAACUGGUCCGACACUGACGCUGAGGCGCGAAAGCGUGGGGAGCAAACAGG